UACAGAGGUCCCGAGCGUUGUUCGGAUUCAUUGGGCGUAAAGGGUGCGAUAGGCGGUGGGGUAAGUUGGAUGUGAAAUCUUGGGGCUUAACCUCAAAAUUGCAUUCAAUAACUGCUCCGCUCGAGUUCUGUAGAGGGGAUUGGAAUUUACGGUGUAGCAGUGAAAUGCGUAGAUAUCUGGAAGGAACACCGGUGGCGAAGGCGGCAUCCUGGACCGGUAGUUGACGCUGAGGCGCGAAAGCUAGGGGAGCAAACGGG
rnacentral:rRNA from 1 species